rnacentral:rRNA from 1 species
AUGUCGUCACCGCCGGAGGAGGCGGGGCCAGAGUCGGAGCCGUCGACGCCGCGAGCGCUGGAGGAGGACCCGUCUCCGGCGGAGAAGGAGGCGCACCCGCGGUGGGAACGGACGGAGGCGCGUCUCGAGAAGAUCCUCGGGGAGGCUUGCACGAGGCUGGCCAAAGCCGAGUUGAGGAGCCUCCGCCACGACAAGCAGGGGCAGCAGUGCCUCCUCACCUUCUCCGCGUUCCCGGUCGGCGCGGAGGUGAAGAAGCAGGCCGUGACGUACUGGUGGUCCGCGCGCUUCAAACUUGCGUUGGAGAAGGGGCGCGGCGCGGACGGGAUCUUCACGAGGCUCUCCGGCCGCGGCUACCUCGAGCCGAUCAAGAACCGCUGCAGCGGGGUCAUCUACGGCUGCCGGGUGCACCCACUGGUGCACUGGAUGAUGAAGCUUCUGGCGACGGAGAAGCAAUGCGCUGCCCUGGACGACGUCCUCUGCCUCACGGCAGGCAACCUUGCCCGCAUGGAGGAACUGCGUGAGGAUGGUGUCGAUUUCGCUGCGGGGCGAUCCCAGGACCAACAAGAUAGGACCAGAGUUGAUGCUGAAAUAAAGAAAGUCAUCCUCAACAUCGACGCGCACGUGUACCAGCUCCCGGAGGCCUUGCUCACAAAGCUCAACGAUCGCGUAGAGGUGUUGCAGCUGGGCAGGUGGGGGAACACCCAUGACAAGACAUACAUGGAACUGGAGGCUCUAGAGUCGCUGAGCGCCAUUGGCAAGCUCAAGAACCUCCGGUACCUAAGCAUGCGUGGGUUGUCCCGGCUGACAGAACUCCCAAGGGAGGUCCGACGGCUCCGAAGGCUGGCCAUCUUGGAUGUGAGCGGGUGCCAGGACCUGGUCAAGUUGCCGUCGGCAACUGUGAAGAAUCUGGCGGGGCUGACCCACCUAGACCUCACUGGGUGCUACAUGCUGGCGCACAUCGGGCGGGGAGUCGCCGCCCUGUCAGAACUACGCGUGUUCAAGGGCUUUGUGUUCAGCGCCGUUAAGCGGCGGCGUGACGCGUGCAGGCUGCAUCACCUCACGAAGCUAAAGAAGCUGUGGAAACUCAGCAUCAACGUCACCACCGACGCCGACAUCGACAGGGACGAGAUGGCGCAACUCAGGAGGCUCUCCCAGCUUAUAUCGCUCACGGUGACGUGGGGAGAGAGGCCAAGCAUAUUGCUGGAUGAAAGCCAGAAUGAUAAACUGAGAGAACUUCUCAAGAGGUGGACCAGCCUCGUGCUACCCCCGAACCUUGGCAAGUUGGAUGUCCGGUGCUACCCCAAGGAGACGUUGCCGUUGGGGACGUGGCUCAAUGGCAACAAGAAACUCACGAAGCUCUACGUGAGAGGUGGGGAGGUGAAGGAGCUUGACAUCCCCGGAGAUAACGUCAUCGAGACCCUGCGCCUCAGGUACCUCAAAGAGUUCGAGCUGAAAUGGACGACUGAACUACUCCCUAAGUUAAAUAGGAACACCAUUAGGUGUGUGGAGAUUGUCGAUAAGGAUUCUAAAGUGAUGAAGCCUCAAACCAAAGGUAAGGUUGAGCUAAAGCAGGAGGAGGGGACAGAGAAAGAAAAGCUGGUUCCCAUUCAGAAGCGGAUGAACAUACCAGUGUUUACCAUGGAUGAACAUGGGGUGUGGGUGAGGGAUCUCAAGGAAGAAGAGGUCGGCCGCCAAACUCCAGGUAAAGCAGAAGCUGCUAGCGGCGUUGACAAAGCUGAAAAAGGUGUUGACGAUGCCGGCAAAGCGCAAAAAGAAGUGAAAGAAGAAGAGAAGCCAAGCAACCUCAAAGGCACCCAAGGAGAAAAUGAGCAACCAGGACCAGCCAAGGAAGACAAUGAGGCUACUGGUGAGAUAGAAAAACUUGACGGUGGAGAUAAGAACCAUGAGAUUGUUAAUAAAGAAAACGACAACAAGAGGGAGGCAAAAUCUGAAGAGCACAAUCCCAUGAAGCAGGGUGCACAAGUACACGAGCCUAACGAAGAUGAGAAUAAGGUGCAGGCGAGCGAUGAGAAGGAGGAACUCAAAGAGGACGUGGAGAAGCAAGCGUCACCUACUCUCGCCGUUGAUCAGACAGUGGCUCCGGCGAGGGAGGGAGAUAUCAAGAAAGGUGCCAUCACCGAUAAGACCCACAAAGAUAAAAUAAGUGAAAUCAAAGAAGAGAGGGGAGACGAACCGAGAGAUGCCAAAGGACGAGAUGAGCCACCUAGCAAGGAAGACACAGGAGACACCGAUGAACCACAAACAGAAGGUGAAGACGAAGGCAAAGACGACGAGCAACCUGCCGACGAAGACGGCGAUACAACCACCGGUGAUGCGACGAGCUCGCAGGCAUCCAAGCCUAAAGAGGAAACCACAGCUGUUAAAGCAGCCGCUUCUCCCCUGGCGGCACAGCCAGCAUUACCGCCUGCAAGUACCGGCGCUGCUCCAGCUGCCGAGGAGGCCAACAUGGGAAGGCUAGCCAAGAUGAUGGACCAACAGGCACCGGCGCGGCGGUAG